UUUUGUUUUCUGUCGAUGGCCAUGAGUUUAAUGACUGCUGUUUAUUCAGCUUGUUAUUGGUAUUACUGAGGAUGCCGACUCCCAAUUUGUGAAUGCGUGCGAGCAUACUUUUUCCGGUUUGGAUUCUCCCUUUCGUCCUGGGCGAUUAAAUACGCCGUUCCUGACGUUUUUUUCCUGUCGCGCCGUGAACUUUCGGUUACUCGGAAGUCUUAGUUGAUACGGAGAUCUAUUAUCUGCUACCCGCUACCUGCUUCCCGCUAUCUGCUACCCGCUACCUGCUAUCUACUACUGAUCCCUGAGCUGGGGUUCCACGGGUGCAGGAGCUUGAGGUGGUGGUGUCACUUCAUCAUUUGCUGUGGACACGUUUGUGUGUGCAGUGAGUGUGUC